CGAGGAAAGAAACUAACAAGGGAUUCCCCUAGUAACGGCGAGUGAAGCGGGAUGAGCUCAAAUUUAAAAUCUGGCUGGUUACUAGUCCGAAAUGUAGUUAAAGAAGCGUUUUCGGUGGCAGUCUCGGUAUAAAUCCUUUGGAAUAGGGUAUCAUAGAGGGUGAGAAUCCCGUCUUUGACUGAGAAUUUGCUACUAUGUGAUACGUUUUCAAAGAGUCGAGUUGUUUGGGAAUGCAGCUCAAAAUGGGUGGUAAAUUUCAUCUAAAGCUAAAUAUUGGCGAGAGACCGAUAGCGAACAAGUACCGUGAGGGAAAGAUGAAAAGAACUUUGAAAAGAGAGUUAAACAGUGCGUGAAAUUGUUGAAAGGGAAACGCUUGAAACCAGUCAUGUAGUUGGAAAAUCAGUGUUCAAUUGGGGGGAAUGGGAGAGGUGUGGACCGCAAGGCUGCUCUUUUCUAUAUCUCUUUUGUUGAGCAUGCACUUUUCUUUCCGCAGGUCAACAUCAGUUUCUUCUGCUGGACAAAACUCUUGAGAAGGUAGCAGCUUUGGCUGUGUUAUAGCUCUGGAGCGAUACAGUGGAGGGGACUGAGGUUUUCGCAGCAUGUGCUCUCGGGCAAGGCCAACUGGGUGCUAUGGGAUCGUUCGGGGUACAAUACAUGUAUUUUGCUUCGUGUCUUUUCUAUACUCGUUCAAUUGAGCUCUUCCAUGCUUAGGAUGUUGACUUAAUGGUUUUAAUCGACCCGUCUUGAAACACGGACCAAGGAGUCUAACAUAUAUGCAAGUGUUUGGGUGGCAAACCCAUGCGCGUAAUGAAAGUGAACGUAGGUGCCAUCCGCAAGGUGCAGCAUCGACCGAUCUUGAUAUUUUUGGAUAGAUUUGAGUAAGAGCAUAUAUGCUGGGACCCGAAAGAUGGUGAACUAUGCCUGAAUAGGGUGAAGCCAGAGGAAACUCUGGUGGAGGCUCGUAGCGAUUCUGACGUGCAAAUCGAUCGUCAAAUUUGGGUAUAGGGGCGAAAGACUAAUCGAACCAUCAGAGCGCA
rnacentral:rRNA from 1 species